UGCUUCUUGUUACCAGAUCUUGCCAGUUCCUGUUAGGCUGAGCUUUCCUGCUGCAAAAUAUUCUCUGAAAAGUGAAUUCUUUUUAAAAACUGCUUAAAGGUUUUCAUUCCGAUUUUUUCAUUGGGUCCAGGUCAAGAGAUGUGCAUUCUUCUUGAAACUUACUGGGAGAAGAUGAAUCUUAAAUUACCCAUCUAUUUUGCUGUUGGUGUAAUUGAAAAAACUACCACCUUUUAUAAGAUGCUCACAACUUGGACCAACCAAAAAAUCAAGAAAAUAUUUGUGCACCGUAAUAUGUUUGAUUUCAAACAUAUCAAG